UUGAACGCUGGCGGCAUGCUUUACACAUGCAAGUCGAACGGUAACAGGCCUUCGGGUGCUGACGAGUGGCGAACGGGUGAGUAAUGCAUCGGAACGUGCCCAGAGGUGGGGGAUAACGCAGCGAAAGCUGUGCUAAUACCGCAUGUGAUCUGAGGAUGAAAGCGGGGGACCAGGCAGCAAUGUUUGGCCUCGCGCCUUUGGAGCGGCCGAUGUCAGAUUAGGUAGUUGGUGGGGUAAAGGCCUACCAGGCCGACGAUCUGUAGCUGGUCUGAGAGGACGACCAGCCACACUGGGACUGAGACACGGCCCAGACUCCUACGGGAGGCAGCAGUGGGGAAUUUUGGACAAUGGGCGCAAGCCUGAUCCAGCAAUGCCGCGUGCGGGAAGAAGGCCUUCGGGUUGUAAACCGCUUUUGUACGGAACGAAAAGGCUCUGGCUAAUACCUGGGGCUGAUGACGGUACCGUAAGAAUAAGCACCGGCUAACUACGUG
rnacentral:rRNA from 1 species